rnacentral:rRNA from 1 species
GGGGAAACCCGGCUAAUACCGCAUACGUCCUACGGGAGAAAGCGGGCCUCUACACUAUGCUCGCACUCGAGAUGAGCCCACGUCCGAUUAGCUAGUUGGUAGGGUAAAGGCCUACCAAGGCCACGAUCAAUAGCUGGCGUGAGAGCGCGACCAGCCACACUGGAACUGAGACACGGUCCAGACUCCUACGGGAGGCAGCAGUAGGGAAUAUUGGACAAUGGGCGAAAGCCUGAUCCAGCCAUGCCGCGUGAUAGAUGAAGGCCCUCUGGGUUGUAAAUAUCUUUUAUCUGGGAAGAAACACUUCUAUUCUUAGAAGCUUGACGGUACCAGAGGAAUAAGCACCGGCUAACUCCGUG